rnacentral:rRNA from 1 species
CCUACGGGUGGCAGCAGUGAGGAAUAUUGGUCAAUGGUCGGGAGACUGAACCAGCCAAGCCGCGUGAGGGAGGAAGGUACAGAGUAUCGUAAACCUCUUUUGUCAGGGAACAAAGGCGGGUACGUGUCCCCGGAUGAGUGUACCUGAAGAAACAGCAUCGCCAAACUCCGGGCCAGCAGCCGGGGUAAUACGGAGGUUGCGGGCGUUAACCGGUUUUAUGGGGUUAAAGGGGUGGGCAGGGGGACUGUUGAGUCAGCGGGAAAAGCCCGGGGCGAAACCCCGGCCCGCCGUUGAAACUGGCAGGCUCGAGUUGGAGAGAAGUAUGCGGAAUGCGCGGUGUAGCGGUGAAAUGCAUAGAUAUCGCGCAGAACUCCGAUUGCGAAGGCAGCAUGCCGGCUCCACACUGACGCUGAGGCACGAAAGCGUGGGUAUCGAACAGGAUUAGAUACCCUUGUAGUC